GCGGAAGGAUCAUUGUCGAAACCUGCCCUGCAGUAAGACUCGCGAACGUGUUUAAACACCAUACCGCGGGGGGCGGGACCUUUUGGUUUCGGCCUUUGCGAAUGAACAACCCCCGGCGCGGAACGCGCCAAGGAAUAUACCAACGAGAUUGCUCGCACCCUCUGCUCCGUUCGCGGAUUGCAACGGGAGUGCUUGCAACUUGCUUAAUAGAAACGACUCUCGGCAACGGAUAUCUCGGCUCUCGCAUCGAUGAAGAACGUAGCGAAAUGCGAUACUUGGUGUGAAUUGCAGAAUCCCGUGAACCAUCGAGUCUUUGAACGCAAGUUGCGCCCGAAACCGUCAGGUCUAGGGCACGUCUGCCUGGGUGUCACGCAUCGCGUCGCCCCCCCUCCCCGCGUUACAGGGCCAGAGGGGGCGGAAGAUGGCCUCCCGUGCGCUCCAUCGGGACGCGGAUGGCCUAAAUGCAAAGUCCAUGGCGACGGACGUCACGACGAGUGGUGGAAGUACCCCGUGUGCAUAUCUUCGCGUCUUGCCGUCUGUCGACCCUCGAGGACAAUUGACCCUUUUGAGCGAAGGCUCGUUUUACGCGACCCCAGGUCAGGCGGGACUACCCGCUGAGUUUAAGCAUAU
rnacentral:rRNA from 1 species